AUUGAACGCUGGCGGAAUGCUUUACACAUGCAAGUCGAACGGCAGCACGGGGCAACCUGGUGGCGAGUGGCGAACGGGUGAGUAAUACAUCGGAACGUGCCCAAUCGUGGGGGAUAACGUAGCGAAAGUUACGCUAAUACCGCAUACGCCCCGAGGGGGAAAGUGGGGGACCGCAAGGCCUCACGCUAUAUGAGCGGCCGAUGUCGGAUUAGCUAGUUGGUAGGGUAAAGGCCUACCAAGGCGACGAUCGGUAGCUGGUCUGAGAGGAUGAUCAGCCACACUGGGACUGAGACACGGCCCAGACUCCUACGGGAGGCAGCAGUGGGGAAUUUUGGACAAUGGGCGAAAGCCUGAUCCAGCCAUGCCGCGUGCGGGAAGAAGGCCUUCGGGUUGUAACCGCUUAGUCCGGGAAAAGGGUAACGGAGGAGUAAUACCCUCGUGCUUUGAUGGUACUGGAGAAUAAG
rnacentral:rRNA from 1 species